UACGGGGGGGGCAAGCGUUGUUCGGAAUUACUGGGCGUAAAGGGCUCGUAGGCGGCCAACUAAGUCAUACGUGAAAUCCCUCGGCUUAACCGGGGAACUGCGUCUGAUACUGGAUGGCUUGAGUUCGGGAGAGGGAUGUGGAAUUCCAGGUGUAGCGGUGAAAUGCGUAGAUAUCUGGAGGAACACCGGUGGCGAAGGCGGCAUCUCGAGCCGGUAUUGACGCUGAUGCGCGAAAGCUAGGGGAGCAAACAGGG
rnacentral:rRNA from 1 species